rnacentral:tRNA from 17 species
GCCGGGCUAGCUCAAUCGGUAGAGCGUGUGGCUUUUAACCACAAGGCUGCGAGUUCGAGCCUCGCGUUCGGCU